rnacentral:lncRNA from 1 species
GAAACUAUAAGCAUCUAUUUGAUAUUGAUAGUACAGAAAGAUGUCAGCUGAGUUUAAUAUUAAGAUAAUAUUAAUAUUAAGAUAUAUUGAAUAAAUCAACACUGGACUAUCAAGCUUCCAAAUGCAAAGACUUGGACCUUUAUGUAGGGAACAUGGUACUCUGGCUCCUGAUGAAUUCUUCUUCCAGAGAAAUGGUAAUUUGAAGGGUCAUUUUGUUGGAAAAAAAAAAACAGAUAAGGCAUGUGUUAUGAAGAUAUUGCACAAAGUUAUAUCAAGACUAGGAAAGUAAACAUCAAAAUGAUACUAAAUCAUAACUGCACUUGUUCCCAUUUCUAUAAUGGUAGAAACUAUGCUCAACCUUAAACAGAAGAAAAACAAGCAGAGAAAUACUGCUCUAAGUGAAACACAAUAGUUUUUUUAUUAUCUAUUGAUCACAUUUUGACCUCAUUGCUCUCUGGCACAAUCAUUAGUUUCAGUGAGCUACAUCAGUACAAAGAAAGUUUAAACUAUACCUUGUAUUGUUCUGUGAAUACUAGGAUAAAACAUUCAACACAGAAAUAUCUUAUUUUACUUAACUUUUUUUUCUUUUUUUUUUUAAUAUAUAUACUGAAAGAAUACUUGCUUCAUAUAUCACAUCAUAUAAAAGAGAUAUUUUAAACACUUUUAUGUUCAUUUAUAUAUUUCAGAUGUAUUGGGAACCUCUUUAUGUUUCAUUUUAGGUUUAUACUUAAGACCUUAUGAAUGAUCAUUGGUCUCCUGUUCUAUAAGAAGAUGUGGAAUGAUAAAAGAGUAUAUCAUGAUAUUUCAUCUCUGUGGUCUUUACCAUUUCUUACCACCCACAAGGACCGAGGCUACUUUCAGAGCUCCAGCAAUAUCACCUCCAGGUCAUUUGAGCAUUACAGAACUAUAAAAUCACGAGUGAAACUGAGUGAAACUGAGAAGGCAGAGAGGAAACUGAUGGCUGUUUCUCAUAAUUCAAGAAUUAAGAGGACUUGGAAGAAAAGCUACAGACCAAAUAAACAAAUGAGGGUACACAGCUGA